GUGGGGAAUAUUGGACAAUGGGCGAAAGCCUGAUCCAGCCAUGCCGCGUGUGUGAAGAAGGUCUUCGGAUUGUAAAGCACUUUAAGUUGGGAGGAAGGGCAGUAAGUUAAUACCUUGCUGUUUUGACGUUACCGACAGAAUAAGCACCGGCUAACUUCGUGCAAGCAGCCGCGGUAAUACGAAGGGUGCAAGCGUUAAUCGGAAUUACUGGGCGUAAAGCGCGCGUAGGUGGUUUUGUAAGUUGGAGGUGAAAUCCCCGGGCUCAACCUGGGAACUGCCUCCAAAACUGCAUGACUAGAGUACGGUAGAGGGUAGUGGAAUUUCCUGUGUAGCGGUGAAAUGCGUAGAUAUAGGAAGGAACACCAGUGGCGAAGGCGACUACCUGGACUGAUACUGACACUGAGGUGCGAAAGCGUGGGGAGCAAACAGGAUUAGAUACCCGUGUAGUCC
rnacentral:rRNA from 1 species